GGAAUGGUGAGAACCACUUGUCUAAAGCCAGCCAGUGCCCCUGAUGCUUCGGACAAGAUGAAGGAAGUAGGGGAAAGCAAAGAAAAAAAGGAGGGACACUUUAAGCUAUUAAUAACAGCAGGAAGGUCAAAGGAAGCAGUAUCAAAGCCACCAGAAGGCCACCAUGUGCUUCAUCCUGCUCACCUCCAACUCCUGUGCAUGAAAGAAACCGGAUGAAGGAAUGAUGCAGUGCUAAAGGUUUACAGGCUAAACAGGGAUGGGA
rnacentral:lncRNA from 1 species